GAUGAACGCUGGCGGCGUGCUUAACACAUGCAAGUCGAACGGAAAGGCUCCUGCUUGCAGGGGUACUCGAGUGGCGAACGGGUGAGUAACACGUGGGUGAUCUGCCCUGCACUUCGGGAUAAGCUUGGGAAACUGGGUCUAAUACCGGAUAGGACGAUGGUUUGGAUGCCAUUGUGGAAAGUUUUUUCGGUGUGGGAUGAGCUCGCGGCCUAUCAGCUUGUUGGUGGGGGAAUGGCCUACCAAGGCGUCGACGGGUAGCCGGCCUGAGAGGGUGUACGGCCACAUUGGGACUGAGAUACGGCCCAGACUCCUACGGGAGGCAGCAGUGGGGAAUAUUGCACAAUGGGCGCAAGCCUGAUGCAGCGACGCCGCGUUGGGGAUGACGGCCUUCGGGUUGUAAACUCCUUCCGCUAGGGACGAAGCGCAAGUGACGGUACCUGGAGAAGAAGCACCGGCUAACUACGUG
rnacentral:rRNA from 1 species